AUCCAAUGCAAUUUCCUAUUUCAUUCACAUAAAUAUACUGCUUUCCUAUUCUACUACUAAUAUUUAAAAAAAGUGAAGUUCCAGCGGCAUGUGAAUUCACCCUUAUAGACUUUAGUAGUUCUAGGGUCACACCUUUCGCAAAUUGUUAUCGAAAAGUUCUUUAUACGAAUCUCGAAUUGCGGUCUCUAAAAGAUACCGCUAUAUCGGUCUCUUUCUUUUAUAUUGAAUUCGUAUUUGGCAUUCUCUGCACAAUAUUGUUAGUGAAAGUCCUUUAUUCUCGUAUCUUUUGAGCAACAAUUUAGUUAACAUCGGGGAUUCCCAUUAAACUGCAUUUAACUUAUGCUUGAUAAUCAACAAGUGGAUUUUAUUUGAAUGCAGUCUUCUUAAACCUAUUUACAAUGCCGGGAUUAUCUUGCGUUAUUUGUUCGGAAAUUUAUAAAGAUAGUGAUAUUCUAUGUAGCACAUCUUGUGGGCACGUCUUCCAUUUUCAUUGUAUGCAACAAUGGCAAUCGCGCGCGACCGAGGGCCUCCAAUGCUGAAAGGAGUUCGACGCAAAAUAAUAUAUAACUUAUCUGCCCCAAGUAUUUGGAGAUGGUUAAGUGGUUAGGAAAAUGAGGAUACCACAGCAAAAUUUAAACCACUGUGCUACAGCACAAGAUCUACUGAAACAGAAAAUAUUUUAAAAACACAAAAAAAACAUUCAUGUCGCCCUACUAAGCGAGCAAUA